AACGAACGCUGGCGGCAGGCCUAACACAUGCAAGUCGAGCGGGACCUUCGGGUCUAGCGGCGGACGGGUUAGUAACGCGUGGGAACGUGCCCAAAGGUACGGAAUAGUCUCGGGAAACUGAGAGUAAUACCGUAUGUGCCCCUCGGGGGAAAGAUUUAUCGCCUUUGGAUCGGCCCGCGUUGGAUUAGGUAGUUGGUGGGGUAAUGGCCUACCAAGCCGACGAUCCAUAGCUGGUUUGAGAGGAUGAUCAGCAACACUGGGACUGAGACACGGCCCAGACUCCUACGGGAGGCAGCAGUGGGGAAUCUUAGACAAUGGGGGAAACCCUGAUCUAGCCAUGCCGCGUGAGCGAUGAAGGCCUUAGGGUUGUAAAGCUCUUUCAGAUGGGAAGAUAAUGACGGUACCAUCAGAAGAAGCCCCCGGCUAACUCCGUGCCAGCAGCCGCGGUAAU
rnacentral:rRNA from 1 species